GCUGAAAUGCCAAGUGCGCUCCAUGCUUAUUUUAUACGUACAAAGUCUAAAACUUUUAUACGCAGCCAAUGUUUUUACGAGUCGACUACAGAAGUCGAUAACAAAACUAUAAUUUUCUAACUUUCUUUCGUUUUUCGUAUGAAAUUGAUCGCAGCGCACCGCGUUAUUAUCUGUAUUUUAAUUUUGGAGAAAGAUUUUCAAUUCCAUGCAAUCAAUAAAAAGAUUUCGGUGUCCGAAAAUUAAUGAUAAAAUAGAGCAGUUUAGUAUCCCCUUAAAAGUAGACUGAUAUUGACAUCCUAAAAAAUAUUUAUAAAAAUAUGUCGUAUUUAAUAAAUAUUUUAUAUACUAUAUAAAAAAUGUAAAAAAUUAUAAAAUUUUUAAAAAUAUUUAUUUGACCUGUAUAUUAAUAACAAAAAUAGGAUUGAUAUUUGAUAUUAGAUUACGAGCCUGUAUGCAAAAAUUUUGCGCAGAAGCCAAGGUUUCCUCUAUUUACCACAAUAAAAAACCACUUGGAUAAUGACUACUCUGCAAUACUUUAUUAAUUCGAUCACAAUGUUUCGGCCAGACAAUUUCUGGCCCUUUUCAAUUGAAACUAAAAUUACAUAGAUACGCAAAUUAUAUUACAUAUAUCACAUCUCAACGUCACAUUCUAAAAUCCGUAAAUUGAAUAAAAUAAUCGUACCUCGUAUAAUUGCAGUAAGUUACAUUAAAUAUCUUAGUUCGCAAAUAACAACUCUUUGGUAUUGUUUAGAGAGACGUAUUAGAAAGCACAUCUAUCCUUCGCAACGUUUGUGAGUCAAAUGAAGAGAUUUGGAAAUGUGCAAGUCUAAACUAUACGUAUAAUUCUGUCAUACACUGUGUUAAGAUUGUCAGUAUCUUUUUGCAGAUUAAUAUUAUUGUUGAAUUUUUUAAUAAAAAACAUUUCUGCGAUCUCUCUUUUUCUUUUAUGCUUUUCCUUAUGUACAAUAUUGGGUUUAGACCAUUCGAAUUUGUGAUUGGUGGAUAAUCGAUGGUUGGUAAUUACCGUGUGGUGCGAAGGCGAACUUUUUAUAUUUUUUUGGUAUUCCAAUGUAUGAAAGAUCACAGUCGCGAUAAUUAAUUUUAUAGAUUAUUGUUAUUUUUUGUUGGCAAAUUUUAUGUUUGGGUUUUAAUUUCUCAACCCACGAAUUAGAAACUUUAAAAUCAAAGUUUUCAAAUUGACUUAUGACAGCUAAAGCCCAUUGCUGCAAGCUUCUUGUCAUCACUUGUUGAUUAAUUUGUUGAGCUUUUAUAAAGCAAUCGUAUGUCCAUGAAUUGAUGAUCGUAUAUUUAUCAAAAACAGUUCUACCACUUUUAAUAUGUUGUUCCUAUAUCGUCAAUUGAUCUAUACGUUUUAAUUGAGAACAUCCUUUUUUAUGUUAAUUUGUCAAAUCUUAUUUCGGAUGUGAUCUUGCAAUAUUAACAACUUUUAUUUUAUAACCAAUUGGAACAAAAUCGUUUUUGAUUUUUUUUCCUUUGGCUCGUAAUCAGACUCGUCUUCUUGUAGUUCUUUAAAAGCGUUGUCGACGUCAAUUUCAUCGUUCAUAGUCAGGUCUUCAUCUGUUAUAAAUUUUUUUUUAAAUAAAUUUUGUAACGUAUAGUGAUAAAAAUCUUCUGCCAGUACAAUUGAUUCUUUAGUAAUUGUUAAAGAAGAUUGUUCUGUGAUAAGACCAUCUUGUGCAAGAAGCUGCUUGUAAUAAGUAAUAGCACUUUUUAAACAUAAUUUUUUAUCAUCUUUGCACAGAUUUUGUUCAAGUGGCUCUUCUCGUACAAUCGAAGGGCCAGGUUCAUCAACAGAUUUCAUGUCUGACUAGAUAACUAUGUUAUUCUUAUAUAUACUAUAAUUUUAACAAAUUAAACUGAUCGCUCAAAAUAACUGCAGUUUUCAUCGCUUUGAAAGCUAACAGUAAAAUACGAACUGAAUAGUGUUAUGAGUGACACAUUCAUACCAAUAAAAAAUGUGUCAGUAGCACCGAUGACGUAAGUCGGUCAGCUGCAGCAGUCAGCAUCGAGCGCAUUGCGCGAGGUUCCGCGCAAUCUGCUCGACAAUUAGUGCAAUGCUCCUUAGACAGCACUUGCUGUCUAAGCAAGAUUUUAAAAUACUGACCGAUUUACGCCCUCACGCUUUUCACGAUUCUCCCCUUCUCUCGAUCCAACUACUGAAUUAACGGAUAUAUAAAUCACCGAAAGAAAGUGAGAGACGGGUCAAUCCGAAGUCGACAAACCGAGAUAACACACGACACUCUGCUUUGCGGGGUCGUGUAUCGCCGACACAAAACAUUGUAAUAAAUACAACCACGACACUCUGCUUUGCGGGGUCGUGGACAGUGCACUCUUAGACGCGACACUCUACCUUGCGGGGUCGCGAUCUAACCGCACACUGUAAAAACAGACAUUAUAAUAAAAGUGCUCAACACAAAGAGUGGUGUGUAGUGACUAAAUACCCUUCUCGCGAGAUCUUUGGCAGCGAUCCCUAACGUACUCCCAACGAGGAGUACAACAAUAGCAUCUGCUCUCUCGGAACUCUUACUUGCUCCACUUUUCAUAAGGCUGUCUUUUGUUCACUAGAUGCGAGAGAAUGCGGACCAACCAGGAUCGACUUACAAUAAAAUUGGCUUAUAAACUCCAACUAACGUGCUAAAGAUACAGCGUAAAAUCUCUCGGAAAUCUUCAAAGUCAAUUUUCUCGAGUAUUUUUGAGAAGCGCAUCGUACUGGUUUGGAAAAUUGAUGUGCGGAUGCUGAUCUUCAAAUCUUAUAAGUAUGAAAAAAAUCGAUAACCCAUGACCCGUAGGAUCUCCUGUACCCAAUAUGGCCUCCUUAAACUUUGGAGAUUUUUGUAAUUUUUUUGAUGAAUACGAAAUUGAAAAAUAAAAGUCAAAUUUAAAAUAGGAAACAUUUCUAAAACUAAAAAAAAUAUAUGAAAUAUUUUAAAUUAUUUAUAUAAGUAUAGUAAAGAUUUUUUAAAAAAGAUAGCACUUGGGUCACGUUGAUUACAUAUAUGUAUAUGUCAAAAAGCUUCAAUUAACUACACUGCAAAUCUAA